rnacentral:rRNA from 1 species
AACGAACGCUGGCGGCAGGCCUAACACAUGCAAGUCGAACGCACCGCAAGGUGAGUGGCAGACGGGUGAGUAACACGUGGGAACAUGCCCUUCGGUUCGGAAUAACUCAGGGAAACUUGAGCUAAUACCGAAUACGUCCGCGAGGAGAAAGAUUCAUCGCCGAAGGAUUGGCCCGCGUCUGAUUAGCUAGUUGGUGAGGUAACGGCUCACCAAGGCGACGAUCAGUAGCUGGUCUGAGAGGAUGAUCAGCCACAUUGGGACUGAGACACGGCCCAAACUCCUACGGGAGGCAGCAGUGGGGAAUAUUGGACAAUGGGCGAAAGCCUGAUCCAGCCAUGCCGCGUGAGUGAUGAAGGCCCUAGGGUUGUAAAGCUCUUUUACCUGGGAAGAUAAUGACGGUACCAGGAGAAUAAGCCCCGGCUAACUUCGUGCCAGCAGCCGCCGUAACAC